GAUAGAACGCAGCGAAAUGCGAUAAGUAAUGUGAAUUGCAGAAUUCAGUGAAUCAUCGAAUCUUUGAACGCACAUUGCGCCCGCUAGUAUUCUGGCGGGCAUGCCUGUCCGAGCGUCAUUUCAACCCUCAAGCCCCCGGGCUUGGUGUUGGGGAUCGGCGAGCCUCCGCGCCCGCCGUCCCCUAAAUCUAGUGGCGGUCUCGCUGUAGCUUCCUCUGCGUAGUAGCACACCUCGCACUGGGAAACAGCGCGGCCACGCCGUUAAACCCCCAACUUCUGAACGUUUGACCUCGGAUCAGGUAGGAAUACCCGCUGAACUUAAGCAUAUCAAUAAGCGGAGGA
rnacentral:misc_RNA from 1 species